rnacentral:rRNA from 1 species
AGGACGAACGCUGGCGGCGUGCUUAACACAUGCAAGUGGAGCGACGAACCAGGGCUUGCCCUGGGGCAGAGCCGCGAACGGGUGAGUAACACGUGGGUUACCUGCCUCGAUGACCGGGACAACCCGAGGAAACUCGGGCUAAUACCGGAUGUGCCCGCAAGGGGAAAGGAAGCUUCGGCCUCCGCAUCGAGAUGGGCCCGCGGCCCAUUAGCUUGUUGGUGAGGUAACGGCUCACCAAGGCUUCGAUGGGUAGCUGGUCUGAGAGGACGAUCAGCCACACUGGGACUGAGACACGGCCCAGACUCCUACGGGAGGCAGCAGUGGGGAAUCUUGCGCAAUGCGCGAAAGCGUGACGCAGCAACGCCGCGUGGGGGAAGAAGGCUUUCGGGUGUAAACCCCUUUCAGUUGGGACGAAGCUUCUCCGGUGAAUAGCCGGACGGAGUGACGGUACCUUCACAAGAGCACCGGCUAACUACGCGCCAGCAGCCGCGGU